rnacentral:misc_RNA from 1 species
UUUCCGUAGGUGAACCUGCGGAAGGAUCAUUAUCGAGUUUUGACUGGGUUGUAGCUGGCCUUCCGAGGCGUGUGCACGCCCUGCUCAUCCACUCUACACCUGUGCACUUACUGUGGGUAUCAGAUCGUGAAGCGUGCUCUUUUACCGGAGCUUGUGAAGCGUGUCUGUGCCUGCGUUUAUCACAAACACUAUAAAGUAUCAGAAUGUGUACUACGAUGUAACGCAUCUAUAUACAACUUUCAGCAACGGAUCUCUUGGCUCUCGCAUCGAUGAGAACGCAGC